UUGCUUGGGUAGUGAACCAUAUAAGGACCAGAGAAUACUAGCAUGGUCCCUGCUCAAGGAUGACACACAUAUUUGUGAAGCUGCCAUAUUUUU
rnacentral:snRNA from 1 species